rnacentral:rRNA from 1 species
UGGGGAAUAUUGGACAAUGGGCGCAAGCCUGAUCCAGCCAUGCCGCGUGAGUGACGAAGGCCUUAGGGUUGUAAAGCUCUUUUGAUGGGGACGCGGUACCCAUAGAAUAAGCCCCGGCUAACUUCGUGCCAGCAGCCGCGGUAAUACGAAGGGGGCUAGCGUUGUUCGGAAUUACUGGGCGUAAAGCGCACGUAGGCGGAUUUGUUAGUCAGAGGUGAAAUCCCGGGGCUCAACCCCGGAACUGCCUUUGAUACUGCAAGUCUUGAGUUCGAGAGAGGUGAGUGGAAUUCCUAGUGUAGAGGUGAAAUUCGUAGAUAUUAGGAAGAACACCAGUGGCGAAGGCGGCUCACUGGCUCGAUACUGACGCUGAGGUGCGAAAGCGUGGGGAGCAAAC